UCCUACGGGACGCAGCAGUGGGGAAUAUUGCACAAUGGGGGAAACCCUGAUGCAGCGACGCCGCGUGAGUGAAGAAGUAUUUCGGUAUGUAAAGCUCUAUCAGCAGGAACGAGACAAGACGGUACCUGACUAAGAAGCCCCGGCUAACUACGUGCCAGCAGCCGCGGUAAUACGUAGGGGGCAAGCGUUAUCCGGAAUCACUGGGUGUAAAGGGAGCGCAGGCGGUGCGGCAAGUCUGAUGUGAAAGCCCGGGGCUCAACCCCGGGACUGCCUUGGAAACUACCGAACUAGAGUGUCGGAGAGGG
rnacentral:rRNA from 1 species